GACGAACGCUGGCGGCGUGCUUAACACAUGCAAGUCGAACGGAAAGGCCCUGCUUUUGUGGGGUGCUCGAGUGGCGAACGGGUGAGUAACACGUGAGUAACCUGCCCUUGACUUUGGGAUAACUUCAGGGAACUGGGGCUAAUACCGGAUAGGAGCUCCUGCUGCAUGGUUGGGGUUGGAAAGUUUCGGCGGUUGGGGAUGGACUCGCGGCUUAUCAGCUUGUUGGUGGGGUAGUGGCUUACCAAGGCUUUGACGGGUAGCCGGCCUGAGAGGGUGACCGGCAACAUUGGGACUGAGAGACGGCCCAGACUACUACGGGAGGCAGCAGGGAGGAAUAGUGCACAAUGGGAGGAAGCCUGAUGAAGCAACGCCGAGUGAGGGAUGACGGACUUCGGGUUGUAAACCGCUUUCGCCUGUGACGAAGAGUGAGUGACGGUAAUGGGUAAAGAAGCACCGGAUAACUACGUG
rnacentral:rRNA from 1 species